GACGAACGCUGGCGGCGUGCCUAAUACAUGCAAGUUGAGCGAUGAAGCUUGGUGCUUGCACCAAUUUGAAGAGCAGCGAACGGGUGAGUAACGCGUGGGGAAUCUGCCUUUGAGCGGGGGACAACAUUUGGAAACGAAUGCUAAUACCGCAUAAUAACUUUAAACAUAAGUUUUAAGUUUGAAAGAUGCAAUUGCAUCACUCAAAGAUGAUCCCGCGUUGUAUUAGCUAGUUGGUGAGGUAAAGGCUCACCAAGGCGAUGAUACAUAGCCGACCUGAGAGGGUGAGCGGCCACACUGGGACGGUGACACGGCCCAAACGGCUUCAGGUGGCAGCAGGAGGGAAUCGUCGGCAAGGGACGAAAGUCUGAGCGAGAAACGCCGCGGGAGGGAAGAAGGGUGUCGGAUCGGAAAACUCGGUUGGUAGGGAAGAAAGUUGGUGAGAGUGGAAAGCUCAGCAAGUGACGGUAACUACCCAGAAAGGGACGGCUAACUACGUG
rnacentral:rRNA from 1 species